AUACGUAGGUGGCGAGCGUUGUCCGGAAUUACUGGGUGUAAAGGGCGUGUAGGCGGGGAGACAAGUCAGAUGUGAAAUACCGAGGCUUAACUUCGGGGCUGCAUCUGAAACUGUUUUUCUUGAGUGUCGGAGAGGAAAGCGGAAUUCCUAGUGUAGCGGUGAAAUGCGUAGAUAUUAGGAGGAACACCAGUGGCGAAGGCGGCCUGCUGGACGACAACUGACGCUGAGGCGCGAAAGCGUGGGGAGCAAACAGGAUUAGAUACCCUGGUAGUCCACGCUGUAAACGAUGAAUACUAGGUGUGGGGGGACUGACCCCCUCCGUGCCGCAGUUAACACAAUAAGUAUUCCACCUGGGGAGUACGAUCGCAAGAUUGAAACUCAAAUGAAUUGACGGGG
rnacentral:rRNA from 1 species